rnacentral:rRNA from 1 species
AACGAACGCUGGCGGCAGGCCUAACACACGCAAGUCGAGCGCUCGCCUUCGGGUGGGAGCGGCGCACGGGCGAGUAACACGUGGGAACCUACCUUGAAGUACGGCAUCACUGAGGGAAACUUCAGCUAAUACCGUAUAAGCCCUACGGGGGAAAGAUUUAUCGCUUCAAGACGGGCCCGCGUUGGAUUAGCUAGUUGGUGAGGUAAUGGCUCACCAAGGCAACGAUCCAUAACUGAUUUGAGAGAAUGAUCAGCCACACUGGGACUGAGACACGGCCCAGACUCCUACGGGAGGCAGAAGUGGAGAAUAUUGGACAAUGGGCGCAAGCCUGAUCCAGCCAUGCCGCGUAAGUGAUGAAGGCCUUCGGGUUGUAAAGCUCUUUCAGAUGGGACGAUGAUGACGGUACCAUCAGAAGAAGCCCCGGCUAACUUCGUGCCAGCAGCCGCCGUAAUAC